rnacentral:lncRNA from 1 species
ACCAAUAACAUUAAUAGAACCUUCUUUGAAUAAUAAUAAUUUACUAAGAAAAUCUUGCAGUUCAGUUUGCCUUGGCUUCACGGCUUUUCCAGCAAGGUCUCAGUGAUCUGAAGCACAACAUUAAACAUAUUCAGACCUUUCAGAAUGAGUGGAAAAGCUAAAUCCUGACAAUUUUUGCCUCCUUGACAACAACAGUAAAUACACAUACACACAGUUGACCUUCAUUUAAUGUUGGCUCUGAGCCUCUUAACAAGGGCCUUUUAGGAGUCUUGCAUCCCAAUUCCCAUGUCGCUACUGUUAGAAACAGUUUGAGCUGUAUUUCCAUUGCCACUCUUUGAAACAGUUAUAAAAAGCAAAAAAAUAACCCUCAACAACCAUGACCUUCCCAAAUUAUAUAUUGUGCAAUUCAGAGUAGUCCUUGAGAUUUGGGCCAAAAGGCAGGGCUUUCUCGAAUCUUCUGUUUGUGUUCUGGUUUCCUAGCAACAGCAUCUCUGAUAGCAAUUGCACAUACUUUCUAGGGGAUUCCACACUUUUUCGUACAACAUGAAAAAAGAAACCACACAUUAUUUUGGUUUAUUUUCAGUUUCAAAUAUGGCUGCAGCUCAGAAUGACUAAACCCACAUAGAGCAAACAUGAUUUUCAAAGUAGAAUUUUAAUUUUUGUCCUCAGAGUUUUCUCCUUUUGAGUAUUUACUUAAAUAUCACCAUAUUUGCCUCAAACAUUACAUACCCAAGGACUCAUUUUAUGUGAAUUCCGCUGUGUACUCAGAAAAACUGAUGCUAGUCAUCAUUGUCUCACCAGACAAAGAGGGACUUUCUAGGUGUGGGAUGUAACUACACCUUAAGAAAGCUAGUAGAGUUUGAUAUCCUCCUUUACAUAGUGAUGACAUUAUUAUACCUCGUCCCUGAUCUUUUUUCUACUUCUAGUUAUAGACUACUACUCACAGGCUAAACAAUAUUUAACACCUAAAUUUAAUUUUAAAUUUAUCAUAAGAGAUUAAUUGUGAUAAAAAUAGACUACUUGGC